GCCUGGGUGGCUCAGUUGGUUAAGCAUCCAACUCUUGAUUUGGGCUCAGGUCAUGAUCUCACGGUUCGUGGGUUUGAGCCCCACUUUGGGCU
rnacentral:tRNA from 1 species